GCAAGCCUGAUUCCAGCCAUGCCGCGUGUGUGAAGAAGGCCUUAUGGUUGUAAAGCACUUUAAGCGAGGAGGAGGCUACUUUAGUUAAUACCUAGAGAUAGUGGACGUUACUCGCAGAAUAAGCACCGGCUAACUCUGUGCCAGCAGCCGCGGUAAUACAGAGGGUGCAAGCGUUAAUCGGAUUUACUGGGCGUAAAGCGCGCGUAGGCGGCUAAUUAAGUCAAAUGUGAAAUCCCCGAGCUUAACUUGGGAAUUGCAUUCGAUACUGGUUAGCUAGAGUGUGGGAGAGGAUGGUAGAAUUCCAGGUGUAGCGGUGAAAUGCGUAGAGAUCUGGAGGAAUACCGAUGGCGAAGGCAGCCAUCUGGCCUAACACUGACGCUGAGGUGCGAAAGCAUGGGGAGCAAACAGGAUUAGAUACCCUGGUAGUCCAUGCCGUAAACGAUGUCUACUAGCCGUUGGGGCCUUUGAGGCUUUAGUGGCGCAGCUAACGCGAUAAGUAGACCGCCUGGGGAGUACGGUCGCAAGACUAAAACUCAAAUGAAUUGACGGGGGCCCGCACAAGCGGUGGAGCAUGUGGUUUAAUUCGAUGCAACGCGAAGAACCUUACCUGGCCUUGACAUAGUAAGAACUUUCCAGAGAUGGAUUGGUGCCUUCGGGAACUUACAUACAGGUGCUGCAUGGCUGUCGUCAGCUCGUGUCGUGAGAUGUUGGGUUAAGUCCCGCAACGAGCGCAACCCUUUUCCUUAUUUGCCAGCGAGUAAUGUCGGGAACUUUAAGGAUACUGCCAGUGACAAACUGGAGGAAGGCGGGGACGACGUCAAGUCAUCAUGGCCCUUACGGCCAGGGCUACACACGUGCUACAAUGGUCGGUACAAAGGGUUGCUACCUAGCGAUAGGAUGCUAAUCUCAAAAAGCCGAUCGUAGUCCGGAUUGGAGUCUGCAACUCGACUCCAUGAAGUCGGAAUCGCUAGUAAUCGCGGAUCAGAAUGCCGCGGUGAAUACGUUCCCGGGCCUUGUACACACCGCCCGUCACACCAUGGGAGUUUGUUGCACCAGAAGUAGCUAGCCUAACUGCAAAGAGGGCGGUACCCACCGGGUGGCCAA
rnacentral:rRNA from 1 species